rnacentral:tmRNA from 1 species
GGGGCUGACCUGGUUUUGACAGCAAGCCGUGAUGGUAUGUAAGCAUGCAGAGAGUGGUGACGCAUCUCUUUAACUUGUGUCUCACAACAAUAAUUGGCGAGAAUAACUACGCUCUUGCUGCUUAACUGAACUAAGUAAGUUAAGCUUUAUUCCGGUACCAGGUACUGGAACGAGACGCUUCCCGGGCGGUGACGCCCUGUACCAACCCGAUAAGGAGGCGCACGCAAUUCAGGGAUUGUCCGAUGGUUUCUCCGGCCUGAGGAUGAAAUAAAGGAGAUAAGGAAAGAUUCGGUUGCCUGGCACCUCGUCUCUCCCGACAAUCAAGUCAGGAUAAGCAUGUAGAAAGCAUAUGAUUGCCUUGCCUGGACGCGGGUUCGACUCCCGCCAGCUCCACAU